rnacentral:rRNA from 2 species
GAGUUUGAUCAUGGCUCAGGACGAACGCUGGCGGCGUGCCUAAUACAUGCAAGUCGAACGAACUCUGGUAUUGAUUGGUGCUUGCAUCAUGAUUUACAUUUGAGUGAGUGGCGAACUGGUGAGUAACACGUGGGAAACCUGCCCAGAAGCGGGGGAUAACACCUGGAAACAGAUGCUAAUACCGCAUAACAACUUGGACCGCAUGGUCCGAGUUUGAAAGAUGGCUUCGGCUAUCACUUUUGGAUGGUCCCGCGGCGUAUUAGCUAGAUGGUGGGGUAACGGCUCACCAUGGCAAUGAUACGUAGCCGACCUGAGAGGGUAAUCGGCCACAUUGGGACUGAGACACGGCCCAAACUCCUACGGGAGGCAGCAGUAGGGAAUCUUCCACAAUGGACGAAAGUCUGAUGGAGCAACGCCGCGUGAGUGAAGAAGGGUUUCGGCUCGUAAAACUCUGUUGUUAAAGAAGAACAUAUCUGAGAGUAACUGUUCAGGUAUUGACGGUAUUUAACCAGAAAGCCACGGCUAACUACGUGCCAGCAGCCGCGGUAAUACGUAGGUGGCAAGCGUUGUCCGGAUUUAUUGGGCGUAAAGCGAGCGCAGGCGGUUUUUUAAGUCUGAUGUGAAAGCCUUCGGCUCAACCGAAGAAGUGCAUCGGAAACUGGGAAACUUGAGUGCAGAAGAGGACAGUGGAACUCCAUGUGUAGCGGUGAAAUGCGUAGAUAUAUGGAAGAACACCAGUGGCGAAGGCGGCUGUCUGGUCUGUAACUGACGCUGAGGCUCGAAAGUAUGGGUAGCAAACAGGAUUAGAUACCCUGGUAGUCCAUACCGUAAACGAUGAAUGCUAAGUGUUGGAGGGUUUCCGCCCUUCAGUGCUGCAGCUAACGCAUUAAGCAUUCCGCCUGGGGAGUACGGCCGCAAGGCUGAAACUCAAAGGAAUUGACGGGGGCCCGCACAAGCGGUGGAGCAUGUGGUUUAAUUCGAAGCUACGCGAAGAACCUUACCAGGUCUUGACAUACUAUGCAAAUCUAAGAGAUUAGACGUUCCCUUCGGGGACAUGGAUACAGGUGGUGCAUGGUUGUCGUCAGCUCGUGUCGUGAGAUGUUGGGUUAAGUCCCGCAACGAGCGCAACCCUUAUUAUCAGUUGCCAGCAUUAAGUUGGGCACUCUGGUGAGACUGCCGGUGACAAACCGGAGGAAGGUGGGGAUGACGUCAAAUCAUCAUGCCCCUUAUGACCUGGGCUACACACGUGCUACAAUGGAUGGUACAACGAGUUGCGAACUCGCGAGAGUAAGCUAAUCUCUUAAAGCCAUUCUCAGUCCGGAUUGUAGGCUGCAACUCGCCUACAUGAAGUCGGAAUCGCUAGUAAUCGCGGAUCAGCAUGCCGCGGUGAAUACGUUCCCGGGCCUUGUACACACCGCCCGUCACACCAUGAGAGUUUGUAACACCCAAAGUCGGUGGGGUAACCUUUUAGGAACCAGCCGCCUAAGGUGGGACAGAUGAUUAGGGUGAAGUCGUAACAAGGUAACC